GACGAACCGUGCAACCGUUGUUCGGAAUCACUGGGCUUAAAGGGCGCGUAGGCGGCAGACCAAGUCCGGGGUGAAAUCUUUCGGCUUAACCGGAAAAGGGCCUUGGAUACUGGUUUGCUAGAGGGAGGUAGGGGUCUGUGGAACUUCUGGUGGAGCGGUGAAAUGCGUUGAUAUCAGAAGGAACGCCGGUGGCGAAAGCGACGGACUGGAUCUCUUCUGACGCUGAUGCGCGAAAGCCAGGGGAGCAAACGGG
rnacentral:rRNA from 1 species